rnacentral:lncRNA from 1 species
UACCAUCAGGGAGGGUAGGACAGAAAGACUCCCUUGGCAUCAAGUACAAAAGCAAUGGGGUAAGGGGGAUCCCAGAAACAAGCAUCACCAUCAGUGAACAUUAAAGGAAGAUCCUGGGGUCACUCACAGCUAAAGGGAUGAAAAGAACCAUUCAGCAGCUACAGCGUGGUGGAAUUAUUCCUUGAAGAGAGACAGAGAGACAAAAAACCGGAACUCUUGGAAAUUAAAUGGAAGACAGAGAAAAGCUUAAAUGGUAACACUGUAACACUGGCCCUCCAGUUUCACUUACAGCUUAAUUGUGACACAUUCUACAACAUUUGUCAUUAACACAAACAUAACAACAUAGGAAUUAGAACUACUAGUGCUUAUUUAAGUGACCAUUGUCCAUGGAUUCUUGUUUUAAAGCCUGUUACUAAAACAUCCUGUAAGCCAAGUGCUUCUCCAAAGAUCCCUACUUCAGCACACAAUGGUACCAUUGGGCUAUAAUGAUAAACCGUUUGUGUAUUUACAAGACUGUCUGCAACAAACUGCAAAUAAUUCCCCUGCACAUCAUUACACAGGUGACAAACUAAACCAACCUUACAGCCAACCCAUGUGCAAAGAACAACCCCAAAAUACAGUUGUGGUGUCCCCAUCAAGCUUUAACAAGAAGGCCCAGAGCUUCUCUGCAUUGUCUCCUCUGAACUCUAAAGUCACUAAAGGCUCCUAUAAUAGGGCUAUGAAAUCAUCAUCACCAUUAUUAUAUUCCAAAUGCCCAGCAACAACUUCGAAAGACUCCCUCU